CAGAAUGCUGGCGCUGUUUAACGUGCACGAGCGGCUCUAGUAAACGAUUCAGCUGGACGUGUCUCAACUGGACUGGUUCGUGCGGUGGCUUGGCCGAGCGUCAGCACGGUGCGUAAGAACUUCGCGAGGGACGGGGUUGCUGCUCUCGCCGCUCUGCACGGUGCUGGUCUUGUUCAUCGCAUCUGGUGGGCGGAUGUUCGGAUCUGCAAAUUCUCUUUUGGCAAGUGAUUUCUCUUUUCCAUUAAGUUCUGAGCGUCGAUUUUGUUUGAUUCGGACUUGAGGACAAAGCUCCGAGGACAAACGUGUUGCUUGUACUCCAAUCCGGCAGCAACUCAACGAUGACCAGCAAAGACCAAGGGUACCAUGCAAGCCAAGGCCUUGGAACUUUGGUCCGCUUAGAAAGUCUUGCUUAAACAGAUCCAGUGACGAGGAGGAGGAAGGCAGAGGUUGUCUUUCUUAUCUCCCUUUUAGUUCCUUCGGCCUUGAACUUAAACCAAGUACGUGCUAGAUCUCUCCAUUUUGACAUGCUCAUGUGGUCUCAGGUCCAUCAUGAUGUGUGUGCUAAAGGCAUAAUAAGCUGGUGCUGGCCUCCAGAAGCUGGAGAGAUAUGAUUGACGCGGGUAUCGCCCUCGUUUCACAUAAAAGAAGGCUGCCAGUGUGCAGUGACGUCCCCGGCCCUGGCGUUGCAUGGCCAGGUUGCUUUGCACGUCUCGUCUGUACUCCACACAAGGCUGCGAUUAGGAAAUCCUAAGAGCUCUGAGGAAAAUCCGUCUUGGCAGCACUGCAACUUUGGGGAUUCUGAAACAGAGCUAAAGCCGAGCCGCCGACAGUACCCGCAUUUAUUCCCGCCAGGGCAGCAGCAGCAGCACCGAUAAGAAGAAAGGAACAUUAGAAAAAUGGCCAUAACUUACAGCAGCAGCCGCUACAGCAUUCCUUGAAGUGUGAGAAGAAGGGAAGAUCAUAAAAAACAUUAGAAAUCAGGCCUACUAGUAGCGCAGCUGAACGGGCUCACAGAUGUGAGAGCGGAGGAAAGACGCAGUUUGGAAAGGAACAGGUGCCUCUACAUUUGGAGCUUGGCCAGCAAAGGAAAGAAAAAAAAGCAGACAGCGAUGGUGGCGAUGGUGGAUUACGGAGAAGGUUUGCUCUUCCAGGUGUGGUUUUCUUUGCGGCAGUCAAAGAGAAUUUUUCUCGGUCGCGACUCGGGCGCUCCUGCUAGUAGAUCCUAGAAAUGCUCCGCCAUUAUGACAAUGGUUUUCGGAGGCGUGGUAGUCUACCACCACUACCAAGUGGUGUGAAUUCGAUGGAGCAAGCAAGCGGCCUCUGGAAAAGAUAAGAAAGCAGGAGGAAAAAAAAAGAAUUUUUGAAGAAUUCAUUGGCAGUCAGGGGUGGUACUGGUACGAUUCGACCGAGAUCCUCGUCUAGUCCUCGGCGACGCACGACCACGCAGCCACUUAGUCAUUGGGGGGGCACCUUUUCCCAAGCCCGCCCAAAUUGCAAGUACCUGGUUGUCCAACAGGGGAGAAAGGAACAGUGUUGGAGCUGUAGCUGGAAGAGCUCACGGGUGGUCUUUAAGCGAGAGAAGAUCGCCGGAAGAAGAAGCAAAGCAGGGAAGAAGCGAAAAGAAAAGCCAAGAACAAAAGAAAGAAAAUGGACGACGAACAGGACCAUAUCAGUCUCUGUGAGAAGAUUUAAAGCUCUCGGGGCAGUGGACAGAGUUCCGUUAUUGGAUUCGGUGCUCGCUCUGGAUCAAAGCUACAAUUUUUAGACAAGAAAACAGAGUGGUGGUGAAGACAAGUUACGCUGGUUUUGGAGAAACGUCUCGAGUUUUUCUUUCUCGUUGUUUUUUGUCCUUGUGUUUUUGGCUGAUUGUUUCGUGUCUUCCAGGGAUCCUGGCCGAAGAGAUUAACAAUAACGAGGAGAAUCAUUUCA